CAUAGCCAGUUGUAACUGACAUAAAAAAUCUACGUAUUUUUUUUUUUCUACUUUAAAAUAAAUGCACACCAUUUACCUUUAUCUCAUUUUCUCUCUUGCCAAAAAAGACUACUGUUGCUCCUCCAUUUCCCUUGUAAAAUGGAUCUUUUUGUGUUCAUGACAAAUGUUAGCCUCCCCAAUUUUGAGAAUCUGUUUUGCUAUGUUGUAGUAUUUGAAAUGAUUUGUUUGUUGCAUCAUCUUUGGAUCGUAAUUGCCUGGAGAAAUGAAUUUUUCCUCUUUCAGAUCUUCCAGGUAAAACUAUUAGUUAGAUCCACUUGUUUUUAGAAGUUAAAUUAAUCCACUUUGUUGGUCAGGUUAAUACGGGUUUACUUGGUCCUAGUGGUUACAAGUAUGUAGAUCCGGUCAUAAUAAUUUUGUCGGCUCGAUUGUGUACGUGUUUACUUGAUCCCAGCGGUUGCAAGUAGGUAGAUCCGGUCAUAAUUAUUUUGUCGGGUCGGGUUGAAUACGGGUUUACUUGGUCCUAAUGGUUGCGAGUAGGUAGAUUCGGUAAUAAUUAAUUUGUCGGUUCGGAUUAAUAUGGGUUUACUUGGUCCUAGUGGUUGCAAGUAGGUAGAUCCGAU